AUAUCUUGGCUUUUGGUGGUACCAGUAUUCCUGUUUAUUUUGUUCAUAGUCAGCCACUCAAAUUUUAUCCUCCAAUGAAGAUGGAGAAUUUUAGAUUCAAUUGGGGAGGAUAUUUGUAUAACCGGUUCCUCAAGGACAAGAUGUCAAGUUGAAGGACAACAUUUAGGAUAUUAGUUAUGAUUGUGCUACUAACUAAUUUUUGUAUUUCCACUUUAACAGUUAUAUAUAAUGUUUUGACUGAAUGAUUGCAAUA